UGGGGAAUAUUGGACAAUGGGCGCAAGCCUGAUCCAGCCAUGCCGCGUGAGUGAUGAAGGCCCUAGGGUUGUAAAGCUCUUUCAGUGGGGACGAUAAUGACGGUACCCACAGAAGAAGCCCCGGCUAACUUCGUGCCAGCAGCCGCGGUAAUACGAAGGGGGCUAGCGUUGUUCGGAAUUACUGGGCGUAAAGCGCACGUAGGCGGAUAUUUAAGUCAGGGUGAAAUCCCGGGGCUCAACCCCGGGAACUGCCUUUGAUACUGGGUAUCUUGAGUUCGGAAGAGGUAAGUGGAAUUGCGAGUGUAGAAGUGAAAUUCGUAGAUAUUCGCAGGAACACCAGUGGCGAAGGCGGCUUACUGGUCCGAUACUGACGCUGAGGUGCGAAAGCGUGGGGAGCAAACAGGAUUAGAUACCC
rnacentral:rRNA from 1 species